rnacentral:rRNA from 1 species
UACGUAGGGGGCAAGCGUUGUCCGGAUUUAUUGGGCGUAAAGAGCGUGUAGGCGGUUAGGUAGGUCCGUUGUGAAAACUCGAGGCUCAACCUCGAGACGCCGGUUGAAACCAUCUGACUAGAGUCCGGAAGAGGAGAGUGGAAUUCCUGGUGUAGCGGUGAAAUGCGCAGAUAUCAGGAAGAACACCCGUGGCUAAGGCGGCUCUCUAGUACGGUACUGACGCUGAGACGCGAAAGCGUGGGGAGCGAACAGG